rnacentral:rRNA from 1 species
GCUACCGCCCGUCUUGAAACACGGACCAAGGAGUCUAGCGUAUGUGCGAGUCAAAGGGCUCUAAAAUUUUAUUCUAAUAAACCCCACGGCGUAGUGAAAGCGAAUUGUGACCCGGUAAAACGGAGCAGUUUGAGGCGGCUGUGAAUCCUAGGAUGAUCGGUCCGACCUAGAGCACAUACGCUAGGACCCGAAAGAUGGUGAUCUUUGCCUGGGUAGGAUGAAGCCAGGGGAAACCCUGGUGGAAGUUCGAAGCGUUGCUGACGUGCAAAUCGCUCGUCAAACCUGGGUAAAGCGACUAAAGAUCCAUCGAACCAUCUAGUAGCUGGUUCCCUCCGAAGUUUCUCUCAGGAUAGCUGACCGACGAUAUGUGUUGUUGUGGGCGGUAGAGCGAAUGACUAGCAUGUUAGGGGAGUGACCCUCCUCUGGAUGAUUCUCAAACUCUGAAUGCCCAUGCGUAAAGAGACUGGGGGCGUAAUUGCCCUGGACCUAAUCUCACACAUUGAAAAACGUCGGUCGUGUGGGCCAUUUUUGGUAAGCAGAACUGGCGAUGCGGGAUGAACCGCACGUAUGUCUAAGGCGCUAAAAUGCCCGCUCAUAGACCCCAAAAAAGGUGUUGAUCCAUCUAGACAGCAGGACGGUGGCCAUGGAAGUUGGAAUCCGCUAAGGAGUGUGUAACAACUCACCUGCCGAAUGGGUUGGCCCUGAAAAUGGAUAGCGCUAAAGCGGGCUGCCGAUGGCAUACCAUUUGGACCCGAAAGAUGGUGAAUUCGCAAAUCAAACUGCUUCUAAGAAAUUUAAUAUUCUAUUGAUUUUCAUAGAAUACUCACAUAACUAAAAAAAAACACGAAUCCAAAUGAGUAGGAGGGCGUGGAGGUUGCGUCGAAGCGUGCGGGGUAACCUGGCGUGGAGCGGCCUCUAGUGCAGAUCUUGGUGAUAGUAGCAAAUAUUCAGGUGAGACCCCUGAAGGAUGAAGCGGGGAAGGGUUCCAUGCGAACAUUGCUUGUCCAUGGGUGAGCCGUACCUAAGCCUAGUGGUCAUGGCUGCUAAAAGGCGAAAGGGAGGCAGGUUGAUAUUCCUGCGCUCGGAUGUAGUUGAAUGCGGUGACGCACUUCUUUGGGGUGGUGAAAUCGGUGGACUCGCUGGGCAGAGUUUUCUUCUCUGUUUGACGCGUACCGCGCUGUGUGGAGGCCGCUUGUCGGGAGAAGCACGCGUGAUGAGGCAGAGCUCCGCGAGAUAUUUGUGGGGUCCGGCUCGAGACCAUCGGUCCUUGAAAAACCAUCUGCUGGGUCGUAGGGGUGGGGGCAGACAUUUAGUUGUCUGUGCUCACGCUAAUCCCUGCGGAUUGUAAGAAAAACAA